CUUGUGUCCUUUUUGUUUAAUGUUUUGGGUGCUUUGCUUAUUUAUUUUGGAGAUUUAAAAUGUCUGCCACCUCCAGUUUUAAAUGAUCAUUAGAAAUUCAAGUUUAUUGAUCUUCGAUAGGGAGCACUUCCAUUAUUAUGUCUUCAUUAUAAUAUUACUUGAAAAUUGUAAUAUUAUUGUUUAGCGCAAUAAAUUGUUAUUAAAUUGUUAAGACACAGCAGACAUGGAAGAAGGCGCUCUGGUCAGAUGACACAAAAUAUGAACUUUCUGAUCUAACAGCUAAAUAUUAUGUGUCAGAAUCAUGCUGUGGAGAUGAGUUUCUUCACUAGGGGCAGGAAAGAGAGUCAGAGUGGAUGUGAAGAUAGAUGAAGCUAAAUACAGGACAAUCCUGAAAGAAAAACGUUUUAAAAGUUAAGUUCAAAUCCACCUAAAUUCAAUUUAAUGCAAGAAAAAUGUGCAAAGCUG